AGUGAACGCUGGCGGUAGGCCUAACACAUGCAAGUCGAACGGCAGCACAGUAAGAGCUUGCUCUUACGGGUGGCGAGUGGCGGACGGGUGAGGAAUACAUCGGAAUCUACUUUUUCGUGGGGGAUAACGUAGGGAAACUUACGCUAAUACCGCAUACGACCUACGGGUGAAAGCAGGGGAUCUUCGGACCUUGCGCGAUUGAAUGAGCCGAUGUCGGAUUAGCUAGUUGGCGGGGUAAAGGCCCACCAAGGCGACGAUCCGUAGCUGGUCUGAGAGGAUGAUCGGCAACAGUGGAACUGAGACACGGUCGAGACUCCGACGGGAGGCAGCAGUAGGGAAGAUUGGACAAUGGGCGCAAGCCUGACCGAGCAAUGCCGAGUGAGUGAAGAAGGUCUUCGGAUCGUAAAACCCUGUUACUGGGGAAGAAGAAAAGUAAACGAAUACCUGCAUGUCUUGACGGUACCUAAAGAGAAAGCAACGGCUAACUACGUG
rnacentral:rRNA from 1 species